ACUCGCUGUUCAGCCUAAGCUGGACAAUGCAGAAGAGGAGCAUAUUCUCGAGCAGUUCCAUUCAAGCAGGACUAUAAGAAAACUUGUUCUCGACUGUCCUGCUUUUGCUUCGACUCUGUGGGAAAAAGCUCUAAAAGGGAAAUGUGCGACCUGGGUCGAAGGACAUAGUUCCAAGAUCAUUAACGCAUAUUUGGAAACCUCGGAUUCCAAGAUAAAAGAGCUGGCAAAAGAAGAGUUGCAGCCCUUUGUAGACAGUGGUCUUCUCAGAUUACCAGUAACAGGCGAUUCUGUCAAAAACGACUAAAAAACCAUGGAGGAUGAACACGAAAUUGUUUCUGGUAGAGCAUGAAUGUGAUAUAAAUGCCUGCUCACACGAAUGACUCGUCUGAUGAGAAUCAUUGACAGUUUCUACUCAGUCGAAUGAGUUCUUUUGGUUGCAUGAGUUUUGGGACGAUGGAAGUUUUAUACGCCUGUAUGGGAAGCAAGCCGUUUAUAGAUCCGGUUAGCACCUCAUAACAUUGGCAUGAUAAUAGAAGAGGACGCUCAAAGUUUAAAUGUCUUUUCUGUUUUAGAAGUUUUGGGAUCUCUUUUUAUGUUGUUACUAGUCUUUUAAGCUAAACUUAUCAUUUUCAAAGAAACAAGAAUAUCUUCUUCUUCUUUUAUAUUUUAUGAAUGUAAUACCCUACUAAUGUAGUU